UCCAGCCAAUGAGCUUCCAUUCUGCAAUGCAGAUAAAUGCUGAUCCUGCACAUUUAAGGCCUAUUUUAUGAAGCAGCUUGUGCUGCCAUUGCCACAUUUAGGAGACAGCGAACGGGAAGCCCCAUUUUCCUUUGUGCCUCGGCCUGUCUUGUCUGCACCAGACUUCAGGAAAGGUAAAGUAUCCACAAUCUUAGAGCAGAAACAACCUCCCUCCAGGAGGGAUUUCAAAUCCCUAGAAGAGUGAGAGCUGGAACUGCUCUUAUGGACUGGAGACGGGAAUGGAUCUUAGCUGCUUUGGCGUGAGAGCUGUUCUGUAGCACAGGACAAGCCUCCUAGAGAACUGCCUGCCUCCAACUGAACUAGGAGAGCAUCUGUGGGAAGACAACUGAGACCCCAGCCCACCUCCAGCCAUGAGGAUCCUUUACCUUCUGCUUCUUGUUCUCUUCCUGGGCCUCCAGACAGCUCAAGGAAGCUUUUCAUUUAAAGACACACGGAAAUGUAAAAGCAACUGGUAUCAUAUGGGUGGCCGGUGCCGACUGUGGGGCUGCAAAUUUGGUGAGAAAAGGACCGGAACAUGCUUGGCUGGGUUAAUGACCUGCUGCCACCCAAAGCACUAAAGAACCCGCUGUGCUGAGUUGAACAUCCCAAGAAUGGAGACUAGUAACAUCAACAGCAACAUAGAUUGUAAGAUCCAGGUGGCAGGGACCUCUGGGCACUGUACCACGCCCACUCUGGGCACUCAAACAGUAAAUAAAAUAAUCAAAUAAUAAA